AGCAUGGAUAGGUGCAAAAAAUAAAUCCUCUUUUGUAACCCAGAACUCAUUGUUCAGUAUGAGUUUUGAUACAUAUAAGAAGGGAUAUU
ensembl:snoRNA